rnacentral:lncRNA from 1 species
GAGCUCCUUACUACACCGAAAUAGAAAAAAAAAAAGCUAAGCUAGCUAAGCCUAUCAACUACGAGUUACAAGAUUUCUAUCUAUAAAUCUCUUGAAGCUUGAUCUUGAGUCUUUUCUAGUUCUUGAUAUGGACUCCGAUCUGAAUCUUGAUUCUCGUUAGGUGCAACCUCUAGUUCAAUCUUCAUCUUUUGGAUCAAGGCAGGACACGUGAAGCUUAUGACUUCGAUUAUAUCUUGAGCAAUCUGUGUCUUCCUCCCCUUCAAUAUUUGAGUUCAUUUCUUUUUGCUCUUUUUCUUCUUUUCUUUAUUUUGGAUUGAGACCCAUUCUUUUGGUCGUCUCGAACCCUGUGCCGCGAGGUAAAACCUGCUCAGAUACCAAAACAAAUAAGCGAACAAAAUUUUUCUGCCCCAGUUUUUACUAGGAAAAUUGCAUGAGUUAAUUGCUACACUAAGCUAUUUCUUUGUUGAAAACAAUAAAAGUCAGGAUUAUGUAUCCUUGGGAAUAUGGAGUGAAGCCCUAAAUUGGGAGGAUUGCUAGGUUAUGCUGGAAAGUUGACCGGGUUAUGCCGGAAGAAAACAAAAAAGGUCCUUGGGUUAUGCCAGGGAGAUCCACGGGUUAUGCCGAGAGAAAAGAAAAAAGUCCUUGGGCUAUGCUAGGAAGGUCCACGAGUUAUGCCGGGAUAAAAGAAAAAAAGGUCAUUGGGUUAUGCCAAGGAGGUCUAUGGGUUAUACCGGGACAAAAGAAAAAGGUCCUUGGGUUAUGCCAGAGAGAUCGACGAGUUAUGUAGGGAUAAAGGAAAAAAGGUCCUUGGAUUAUACUAGAGAAGCCCACUGAUUAUGCCGGGAUAAUAGAAAAAAGGUCCUUGGGUUAUGCUAGGGAGAUCCACGGGUUAUGCCGGGAUAAAAGAAAAAGGUCCUUGGGUAAUGGCAGGAAGGUCCUUGGGACUCAACCUUUUAACUUCAUUUUUUCCUUUGUGGGCAUUUGACUUUGAUUUCCUUUUUUUUCAGGAGUUUUUAAAUUCAAAACAUCAGCCGCCAUGGCCAGUUAAGGUAAACUUAUGCUCCUGACAAGCCUGGGUGCACAUUAGCUCGCGUCAAAUGAGAACCCUGUAGAUUAAUCUUGCCAUCCCUUCUUUGUCUCAAUUCCAGAAUAGAGUUAGACCGAAAGGGAUUCAAAGAAAAUAAAUAAUGGAAUGGAGAAUGAGUUAAAAACAAGAAGUGUCCCUUUCGGGGAAAGGAAAGAAGGACUUAUCUGGAGUACAUGUGGACUUCAAUGAGCAUGACAUGCCUUUUGGACUGGAUGCCUGAUCUGUUUUAACCGUCUGACUCUCAAAAAUUCAUCACAACUUCUACUUCAAAAUUUGAGAAACCUUGCCACGACAUUGUCGAUGCCGAUGGCUGUGAGGAUCUUCUUUUCAAUCAAUGGGGCCCUUUGCAGGUUUUCACAAGCUGACAUCUCUCAUUUCUCUUCUCACCGUCGCCUUAUAGUUCACCUGUAGAUUUUCACUAACAAGACUCUCGUUUUAUUUUUCUCAUUUUGAUUGCAUCGGAUCCAAGUAACUACAGUCUCCGAUCCUUGAACAUUCUCACCGAUUGAUUAGAAGGACCUGAACAGGAUUGGGGGUGAAAAGAGUUUGGAUUGAGUUACAACUUUGGAACCUUUUGGGGGGGACCAUCCCCGAACCAUUAUAACAUUUGCCCCAGUUUCACUUUUUGGGGGCCUUUGAAUUUUUAUUUUGGUAUGGCUGAACCCUAGAGAGAGGCUGCCUACGUAUCCUUUCGGAAUCAAGUCGAACGUAGUUUAGGAAACUUUAUUUUUGGAAUUUCUUCUGCUUUUACUGCUUUGUUUUGUUUUCUCUUUCUUUUUCCUUUGCUUUUCCUUUUUUCAUUUCAUUUUCUUUGUCUUUUCUACCCCUUUUUGUUUCUUUCUUUUUUUUCUUCUUUUUUUUCAUUUCAUUUUUUUCCAAUUUAUAAUUCAAUUUUUUUAAUAACACUUUCAGGUUUUAAAGAGGGUAAUUAAAGAAGAGUAACCCACUCAAAUGGGUUUGCAAAAGGUUAAGUGUUUGGAUACUGAGAAAGAAAGUCUUCUUCAUCCCAACCUGAGAACAUUAAUGUUAUAUAGAGAAUCAACCAGAGUACAUAUGGUUGAAUUUGCAUUGACAGUUGUUUCAGGGACAUUUCCUUUGAUGUGUCCCAAGUAUAACGCACUCUUUUGGCAGUACUCUUGUUGCAAUGUAUGGACCUUUCUAAUCUGGAAACCAAUUUUUCUUCAGUUGUUCCAACUCUUUAUUUUAUUUCAUUAAACUUAUCUUCAUUGUGAUCUACUUCUUGAUUCAUUAUUUCGAAGUCUGAAAGCGUUUCAGGAUGUGAGCAUGAAGUCUGCAAGUAUGUCAUAUUAUUGAAAUCUGCAUUUAACAGAAUAAAAAAGAGAAUAAGAAAAGCGACAAGAUUAAGGAAAGAGAAUUCCUGGACAAUGAAAUAUUAGUUUCACUUUAUUUUUUGAUUUUUUUUUUCAAAUUUCAAUUUUUUUUUAAGAUAGAAGGGUUUACAUCGGAAAGUAAGACAAUAAAGUAAAACAUCCAGAUCACACCCUGAGAUAAUACGAAGGUAAAGCGGAUAGCAAGAGUGGCUACCGAGACUCCCGUCUGAUGGGGAACUUUGAGGCUUGGCCGACCGUUUUUUGGCUUUCCUUCUAUCUCGGCAAUGGCUGCAAUGGCCUCCAGUGCCAGAUCAAAUUCCUCACCUUCACAAAUUAUUCCGACUAUUGGUUCGAUGUUGUGCGUAGGCAACAGAUUGUUCAUCACAUCCAAAGCUUCUUCAUCUCGAAGAACAAUUCUUUCAGCUUCAAUCAAAUCUUCAACUGCCCUUUUGAGGGUCCAACAGUCCUCAGUACUGUGUCCCACUACUCUAGAGUGGUAUUCAGAUAUAGCAUCAGCUCGAUGCGAGGGGGACUCGAGGUUCGGCCAGUUUGGGGCCACUGGCUAUAAUAGAUCUGGCGUGAUAAGCUUUUAGAACAAGCUUGAAUAUGAUUCACCAAUAGCGGUGAAUUGACUCUUUCUGAAAAGCUCUCUUGGGUGAGGAUUGUAUUACGGAUCAUUCGGUUGAUGAUUAUAUGGAUCUUGGUAAGGAUGAGCAUUUCUGGGAAGUGGAACUCGAUUUUGUGUACAAUGUUGCGGCCGCGGGUAAGGUUGCGCGUUCAUCACCGCAUAAGGAGGCAGUGCCAUGGCAUAAGCAGCAUCCGGAAGGGGAUAAUAGUGUGGUAGGACGAUAGGAGGCACAUAUGAUUGGCUGAAUGACCAGCAGUCCCCCCUCGAGCUUGAGACAAUCAUGACUCCCUCUUCACUCCCAUUUAUGUUUAUCAAAACCUUCGAAUCAUUCUAAGAAAACUGUGAUGUGACCUUAAAAGCAACAUGACUCAAGAUUCGACCUGUUUUUACCCCAAUGUUAAUAGCCUCAGCAAAUGGCUUACCCACAGUAGACAUCAUGUUCUGGAAGUAGUCAGCCUCUUGGGCCUAUAGAAAGACAAUGACCAUUUCAAUUUCAUCCAUUAGAGGCUUUACCUUGGCAGCUUGCUCAGGCCAUUUGAUAGAAUAUUCAAGGAAGAUUUCCGCGGUUUUCCUUUUCAAACUGGACAAAGUGUUCCUAUCAGGAACAAUGUACAUAUUAUACUAUUAUUGGCGGAAGGAAUCUCGCACCAUAUCAUCCCACACAUGCCAAUAAGUAAUUUCUUGAUCUGUAUACCACUCAGAAGCAAUUCCGGGAGGCUUUCCCCAAAACAGGCCACCAGCAGCUCCUCUUUUCCACCAACACCCCUCAGCUGGUUGCAGUAUUAUUUCAGAUGAGCGAUCGGGUCUCCAUAUUCGUCGUACUUUCAAAUUUUGGCAUCUUGAAGCCAACUGGCAAGUGAAAACAGGGAAACAUACAGAGGUCAAAGUAUGAGACACUCUUUUGGCCACUCAGACCCUGCAUGUUUUUCAAGCAUUGUUAUAGGCUCUUCAUCUUCUAAGCAAUUUCCUCUUGCUCGUGGAUUUUAAAAAUCUUUUCUUGCUCCACUGAGAGAUCAUAUUGCGGAGGUUGAGUGAAAGAAUACGGGGUCACAUAUGUCAUAUCUUAUUGAAGCUGUGUACCUGAAAAGGUAAACAUUGGAGGUGGUGUUCUUAGAGCCGGUGCUUGGGGGUGGGCCACAGAAGGCAUACCAGAAUCAUUGGAGGGCAUUAGAGGGUGCUCACAUGGGAUGAGAGGAUGGGACACAAGGGAAUUAGUGACCUUACCUGACCUGGGGAUCAACCCAGGGAACCCAGGGAUUGAACUUGGCGGUCCCUACCAUUAGACCAGGUGUCCCACAUUUCUCAUAUGCGGAGACGCAACAUCUUAUCUCUUCAGCAACUGCAAUUCUAGUUGUAAAAUAGUUGAGGUCGGGCUAUACUCAGGACCAAUGACUGGUAUAUUGUUAGCGGAGGCCAUCUGUUCCUUUGGAUCUUGUGAAGGAGGGAAGGCUAGACUACCAACAAAACCAACCACCAAACCUGGCAUUUUGCACACGCACCAACCUUGUUAGUUUUGAGACGCUUAAUAGAUAGGAAAUCACACAUUUGGAUGCAAUGCACCUAAAAAGUUAAACGUUUCUACCAAGUGUUUAAAAACGGUUGCAUAUUUCAUACCGGCCUUAACUAACUUUCUCAGUAUGUACCUCUUUUUUUUAUGUGUGCCUUUAAUCACUCUUGAUUUUUCAUCUUGUCUAUGUCGCUCUUUUAUUUUUGGCAUUCCUUUUUGUCACUCUUUUAAUUUUUGUCGCUCUCCUUUUCACUUUUUUCCCCUCUUUUUCACUCUUUCUUUUUUAAAUUUAUUUUUCCACUCAACUAAUUUUAUGGCUAUGAUCAAAUCCGAUGGAGACUGCCUACGUACAUGGCCCCGCAUGAAUCAUAUCUUGCAUAGCUUAGGAAGAUUAAGAAUGGAGUAAGUAAGCUAACUCUUUUUUUUGUGUACUUUUAUAAAACUCAGACCGUGAAAGCGUUAAGGAAAAAGAAAAAUAUUUUUGAUUUUGUGAUUUUUUUUUUGAAUUUUCUAAAAAAUGCUUUAAAAAAGAAAGGAAUUUUUUUUGACAGAAAGACUUCUAAAAAAUUUUAUUCUUUUGAUUUGAGCUUUGGAAAUUUCAGAGUAAAAGAAGAAUAUUUUUAUUUGAAUGUUCAUUCACUUUCUCUUUAUUCUAAAGAAGAAAGAAAAAUAUUUUUAAAUUUUGGAAAUUGCCUCUUAAUUCUCGAAAGAGAGACUUUUUUAAGAAAAAUGUUUUGAAAUUCUGAGCUUUUUAUUUAUUUACAAAAGAACUUCUAAAGAAAAGAAAAUAUUUUUGGACUUUUCAAAAUUUUUAUGGACAUUUACAAAGCAAAGACUUCGAAAGAAGAAAAAAGUAUUUUUUGGAUUUUUGUUUCUGAUUUUUUCUAGAUUUUUGUUUUAAUAGAAAAUUACUUCAAAAUGAAGGAAACUCGUAUUUUGGAUUUUGAUUUUUAUUUAUUUUCUUUUUUCGAUGGAAAACAUUAGAAAGAAGGAACCCAUUUUUCAUUUGAGCUUAAAAACUACUUUUACUUUUUUUUUUUAAUUUUCUAAGCAAAAUAUUUAAAGAAGGAACUAAAAGAAAAUAUUUUUUUGAAUUUUUUGACAAUUGGGUUCUUAAAAAAAGGUUUUUCUAAAUAAGUAAAUGAAAAUAUCUUUGGAUUUUUUGUUUUUUUAAAUUAGGGAUAAUAAAGAAAGACCAUUUUUUAAUUAAAAGAAGUAAAUAAAAAUAUUUUUGAAUUUUUUGAGAAUUGGGGUCGGAGCCGAUGAGGUUUGCCUACGUAUCUCAUGUCCGGUGAGAAUCCGUCCUGUGUAGUUCGGUCAAUUUUGACAGAACAUAGGAAACAUGGCACUUGAAGAUUUCGAACUCAUUUUGAAAUGACUUUUCUUUUUUCAGAAUUUCGGUAGAGUUAAUUUUCUAAAUAUCUACCUCUCACUUUUUCCUCUUUUUUUUUAAAUUUUCCUUCCCUAUUCUAGAAGCCGGUCAACAUGAAAGCCGAAUCAAACAGAUUAGCAAGUAGGACGCAAGAUGCAUCAGGAUGGUCUUUCUAAUUUAAGUACACUUGGCCUAGACGAACCCAACCCCUGUGUUGAGUCCCCAAAGUCAAAUGCACAUGAUACAAAUAAAUGUUCCUAUUAGGGAUCUGGCAUGAGACUUUGUUACACUAGGUUUAAAACCUGGGUUUACUGUUCUAGACCUGGCUUACCCGAGCAGACAGCUCGAGCCGAGGGGGCCAGCGUACCGGGAAUACAGAAGGUUCACCGGCUUUGCAACUUGUUUGAACCUCGUUCUAAAUUUGGGAUAAGACUCUAACAGAAAAGAAGUCACACGAAGUGCAUACUUCCCAAAUGAUUUAGAAGACUCGUGGAGAAGAGAGUUUCAUAGCAAUUUAUAUAUAGUCCAAACAAUAUCAAAUCGGUAAAAUCGGCAUUUAGCCCAUUAGGCUCAACAUGUAAAAAUCAGAUAAAACAAGCCAAUUAUAACAGUUAUUCUAAUCUCGGAUUCUUAAACUCUGAACCGAAGUUCUGGUUUUGGAUCGCUAGUAGAGUCGCCAGAGCUAUCAUACCUCUUUUUUUUACACACCCACCCGAAGAUAGUGCAAGGGAAUUUUUUCAAUUUAAGUGACAUUGUUCGAAAUGAGAUUAUUUAUUCAAUCCAGAGUUGCCACUUGGGAUAGUUUAUUUGGUGUCCCAAGUCAUUGGUUUAUUUUAAAUCCCAAAUCGAGGAAAUUUCGACUUUUCUUUUGAAGUCUGCGAACUAGAAAUUCAAAAUAAGGAAUUCUGUUAACCCGAGGGAAGGUAUUAGGUACCCCCGGAUUUCGUGAUUCUAACACAGUCUCUUAAACUAUUAUAAUUGGCCUAUAAUCUGAUUUUAAUACAUGUUUUAGCCUAUGGUAUAAUUUUAACUCAUUGACCGCUUUUUAAUUAAUUUUAGGAAGAUUCAACAUUAUCUAAAACAUGUCUUUGAACCACGCCACAUGAAAUGCACCGCAAUCUACGAUACAUUUUAUUUAACGUUAUUGAAUUGGAGUUGGGUCACAUAAAAUGCACACCCGAGUUUAAAGAAAUUAGUUUAAAUUAAGCGCCUAAAGCAACUACGAACUUUCAAGUUAAUAACAAGGUAUGUAGGGCCCAUGAAAAAUUCAACUAAUGGCACGCCUCGAUUCCUAAAUAGUUAAUACUAAUUAAAUGAGGGUCAUGAGCUUAGGGGUUUUAUUUGACAUGGCACGACUCAAAUUAUUUUGCAAGUUUUUACUUAACAAAAACAUACUACAAUAUUCAUGAUUUUCCUAAAAACUAAUUUGGGAUUACUGUAAAAGGCUUAAGAGUUAUGAAUAAUUACUGUGGGAGAGAUAACGUGUUUUACAGCAUGAACAUCAAUGGAUGGAAAAACAUGCUCUUCAUUGUAAUUAACGUUGCCAUGAGGUAAUAAGUCUUAAUGGUUAACAGACCUGCACUUAAUUUCUGAGUAUGUCAUAUAACGUGGAGUUGACAAAAACAAAUAUCAUACUGCAAACAUGUACAUGAAGGUGCACACACUCUUGUCUUUCUUUUACAUAUUUAUAUACCAACAACGUGCGAUUCUCAAAUGAACUUGGGUGUUUAAUAACAAGAAAAUUUGGGUCAUGUGUUAUAAAGACGGGCUUAUAAGUCCAAUAAUGGCCUACUCCUUUUUGUAUCUUAUACAGCCUAAAUGCCUUAAUCAAAUUCACAAGUGUAAUCAAAUGAACCAAUCAAAUUUUAUCUUUUAGUUUAAUAUUCCUUCUACUCUAUUCAGGCAGAUCUCAUUCCCAUACAACAAAAUAGUCUUCUAAAACAAAUUAGGAAUUCUCUUCAACUAUUAAGUUCUCUAGGCAUAAAGGAGGAAAUAUUUAUCAAUAACUUUGAAAAUUUACGAAAUAUGAAGGCCACCAGCAGGUAUCACAAAGAGUAGCAGCACAUCAAAAUUUUCAGUAAUUACACUAGUAAAGCAAAAACAGUCCGAGCCAAAUAUACACAAAAACGAACACACCAUUUUUUCAUGAAGCAAUAGUAUAGAUUCAAAAGUGUGUACCUGAAAUACUCACGUAAUUUAUAUUCAACAAAAUAUAAUAUCCGCUUUGUUCAGACCAAAAGUAAUACCUGGUUAUAGCGGAACCAAGAAAAAUAGAACAUAAAUCUCUGAAAGAAGCAACAGCUAAAAUCAGCUCAUGCGAAGUUCAGCAGCUGACUUGCAGGAAUUAGCUUGGAAGAAAAAAAAGAAGCUAAGUGCCGAAAACUCGAGCUCAGCUGAGCAAACAAAGCACACUUUCAGCAACAUACAAUAAAUCAAACAUCAAUUUGAGUGCGAAUUGACAUUCCAGACUCGAAACGAUCUACAGCUCCAUUAAACUCUAAAGUUUUCCCCUCAAAAUGUAGGGGAAAAAAUGAAUUGAGAUUGACAACUUGGUGAGCUUGAAUUUUAGAUCUGAACUAUUUAAUUUCAGCUAAAUUUGUUUAGAGAGAGAGCAGUAGGGAGGCAGAUCCCUUUGUUGAAGAUUCGAGCAUCCUGAGAGCUAUGAGAAAGAGAUGAGGGAGGCUUGAGACUAGUGAGGUGAGAGAGAAGAUUUUUUAUGGAGGGAGGUUGUCCAUUCUCUGUUAAAGAGAGGCAAGGAGCGCCGCUUGCAAUGGUAGGGGUAUGAUGAUCUGAUCCCCUAACUGGUAUAAGAUCUAUUUUUUGUAAAGAAUUAGGGGUUAGGUUUUAAUGAAGGUAAAGUUAAUGGGCCAAAAUAAUUGGACUGGAGUGUGGGUAAUUAGGUUAUUUGAGAUUUUUGGGCUUGAAAUUAUGGGCUAGGUAGAAAUUUUGGGUAAAAGAACUAGCUCAAUAUCCAAUUAAAUCUUUUCUUCAAAUUCUUUUUCUUAUCUUUUCUUUU